rnacentral:misc_RNA from 1 species
AACGCACCUUGCGCUCCUUGGUAUUCCGAGGAGCAUGCCUGUUUGAGUGUCAUUAAAUUCUCAACCUCACCCGUUUUCUGAACGGGGUCGAGGCUUGGAUGUGGGGGUUUGUGCAGGCUGCCUUCACUGGCGGUCUGCUCCCCUGAAAUGCAUUAGCGAGGUUCAUGCUGAACUUCCGUCUAUUGGUGUGAUAAUUAUCUACGCCGUGGACGAGGAUCAGACUCGCUUCUAACCGUCCGCGAGGACAAUACCUUGACAAUUUGACCUCAAAUCAGGUAGGACUACCCGCUGAACUUAA